UACGUAGGGGGCAAGCGUUGUCCGGAAUCAUUGGGCGUAAAGCGCGUGUAGGCGGCCCGGUAAGUCCGCUGUGAAAGUCGGGGGCUCAACCCUCGAAUGCCGGUGGAUACUGUCGGGCUAGAGUGCGGGAGAGGCGAGUGGAAUUCCCGGUGUAGCGGUGAAAUGCGCAGAUAUCAGGAGGAACACCGAUUGCGAAGGCAGCUCGCUGGGACGUUACUGACGCUGAGACGCGAAAGCGUGGGGAGCAAACAGG
rnacentral:rRNA from 1 species